GAUGGAGAUGCCAAUUAGGGUGAUCAUCAGAAUGAUGCAGCCUGCUUAAUUGAGAAUACAUAACCUGAUAUUCUUGUGUUUCCAUGAGUUGAUCUUCAACAAGACGGUGUGGACAUUGACCAGUUCAAGAUGAAAUAAGGGGUUCAUCUUCACCAAAACCAGCACCCAUGAUGCAGUGCGUGUGUGCUAAUGGAAUUCCAUUCACGUGUACGUAGAGCCCCCAGUUGUCUGAAAUGGUAGCAGCACUAAGCAGAGCACCUAUGGGAUACAAAUGGCUAUCAAGUGAGAAGGCAAGAAUCACUCUUCUAAAUGCAGGCAAGAGAAACAUGGAGCAGGACUUAAACGCCAAUUACAAA